UCCAGCUCAACGCCGGCAGUCUCCGAUGAGUGCUUCGAGGCCUUACGGCCCCGCGAGCAACAUCAAAUGGGGGUUGCGCUCGUUGCGGGACUUAACCCAACACUUCACAGCACGAGCUGACGACAGCCAUGCACCACCUGUGCUCGCUCUCGACUUGACGAGUCCAUCCCCUUUCAGUUCAGUACUUCGAGCAUGUCAAACCUAGGUAAGGUUCUUCGCGUAGCAUCGAAUUGAACCACAUGUUCCACCGCUUGUGCGGGCCCCCGUCAAUUCCUUUGAGUUUCAUCCUUGCGGACGUACUCCCCAGGUGGAGGACUUAGUGGGUUACCUGCGGCACCGACCCGGAACGGGCCGACACCUAGUCCUCAUCGUUUACAGCGUGGACUAC
rnacentral:misc_RNA from 1 species